UUGACCUCGGAUCAGGUAGGACUACCCGCUGAACUUAAGCAUAUCAAUAAGCGGAGGAAAAGAAACCAACAGGGAUUGCCCCAGUAACGGCGAGUGAAGCGGCAACAGCUCAGAUUUGGAAUCUGGCCCCCAGGGCCCGAGUUGUAAUCUGGAGAGGAUGCUUCUGGCGCGGCGCCUUCCGAGUUCCCUGGAACGGGACGCCGGAGAGGGUGAGAGCCCCGUACGGUUGGACGCCUAGCCUUUGUGAAGCUCCUUCGACGAGUCGAGUAGUUUGGGAAUGCUGCUCAAAAUGGGAGGUAAAUUUCUUCUAAAGCUAAAUACCGGCCAGAGACCGAUAGCGCACAAGUAGAGUGAUCGAAAGAUGAAAAGCACUUUGAAAAGAGGGUCAAACAGUACGUGAAAUUGUUGAAAGGGAAGCGCCCGUGGCCAGACUUGUGCCCCGCGGACCACCCGGCGCCCUCAGCGCCGGUGCACUCCGCGGGGCGCAGGCCAGCAUCGGUUUUCCUAGGGGGAUAAAGGCGGCGGGAACGUGGCUCCCUCGGGAGUGUUAUAGCCCGCCGCGCCAUGCCCCUGGGGGGACCGAGGACCGCGCUUCGGCAAGGAUGCUGGCGUAAUGGCCACCGGC
rnacentral:rRNA from 3 species